rnacentral:rRNA from 1 species
UGGCGGACGGGUGAGAAACGCGUGGAUAACCUGCCUCACACUGGGGGAUAACAGUUAGAAAUGACUGCUAAUACCGCAUAAGCGCACAGUGCCGCAUGGCAGUGUGUGAAAAACUCCGGUGGUGUGAGAUGGAUCCGCGUCUGAUUAGCCAGUUGGCGGGGUAACGGCCCACCAAAGCGACGAUCAGUAGCCGACCUGAGAGGGUGACCGGCCACAUUGGGACUGAGACACGGCCCAAACUCCUACGGGAGGCAACAGUGGGGAAUAUUGCACAAUGGGCGAAAGCCUGAUGCAGCGACGCCGCGUGAGUGAAGAAGUAUUUCGGUAUGUAAAGCUCUAUCAGCAGGGAAGAAAAUGACGGUACCUGACUAAGAAGCCCCGGCUAACUACGUGCCAGCAGCCGCGGUAAU